UACGUAGGGGGCAAGCGUUGUCCGGAAUCAUUGGGCGUAAAGAGCGUGUAGGCGGCCCGGUAAGUCCGCUGUGAAAGUCCAGGGCUCAACCCUGGGAUGCCGGUGGAUACUGUCGGGCUCGAGUCCGGAAGAGGAGUGUGGAAUUCCUGGUGUAGCGGUGAAAUGCGCAGAUAUCAGGAGGAACACCAAUGGCGAAGGCAGCACUCUGGGACGUGACUGACGCUGAGGAGCGAAAGCAUGGGGAGCGAACAGG
rnacentral:rRNA from 1 species